UAAUCCUCCGGGAGGCAGCAGUCGAGAAUCAUUCACAAUGGGGGAAACCCUGCUGGUUCGACGCCGCGUUUGGGAAUGAAGGUCUUCGGAUUGUAAACCCCUGUCAUGUGGGAGCAAAUUAAAAAGAUAGUACCACAAGAGGAAGAGACGGCUAACUCUGUGCCAGCAGCCGCGGUAAUACAGAGGUCUCAAGCGUUGUUCGGAAUCACUGGGCGUAAAGCGUGCGUAGGCUGGUUCGUAAGUCGUGAGUGAAAGGCGCGGGCUCAACCCGCG
rnacentral:rRNA from 1 species